rnacentral:rRNA from 1 species
GGAUCCAGACUUUGAUCCUGGCUCAGGAUGAACGCUAGCUACAGGCUUAACACAUGCAAGUCGAGGGGAAACGAUAUUGGAAGCUUGCUUCCGAUAGGCGUCGACCGGCGCACGGGUGAGUAACGCGUAUCCAACCUGCCCACCACUUGGGGAUAACCUUGCGAAAGUAAGACUAAUACCCAAUGAGGUCUCUAGAAGACAUCUGAAAGAGAUUAAAGAUUUAUCGGUGAUGGAUGGGGAUGCGUCUGAUUAGCUUGUUGGCGGGGUAACGGCCCACCAAGGCGACGAUCAGUAGGGGUUCUGAGAGGAAGGUCCCCCACAUUGGAACUGAGACACGGUCCAAACUCCUACGGGAGGCAGCAGUGAGGAAUAUUGGUCAAUGGGCGAGAGCCUGAACCAGCCAAGUAGCGUGCAGGAUGACGGCCCUAUGGGUUGUAAACUGCUUUUAUAAGGGAAUAAAGUGGGAGUCGUGACUCCUUUUGCAUGUACCUUAUGAAUAAGGACCGGCUAAUUCCGUGCCAGCAGCCGCGGUAAUACGGAAGGUCCGGGCGUUAUCCGGAUUUAUUGGGUUUAAAGGGAGCGUAGGCCGGAGAUUAAGCGUGUUGUGAAAUGUAGACGCUCAACGUCUGCACUGCAGCGCGAACUGGUUUCCUUGAGUACGCACAAAGUGGGCGGAAUUCGUGGUGUAGCGGUGAAAUGCUUAGAUAUCACGAAGAACUCCGAUUGCGAAGGCAGCUCACUGGAGCGCAACUGACGCUGAAGCUCGAAAGUGCGGGUAUCGAACAGGAUUAGAUACCCUGGUAGUCCGCACGGUAAACGAUGGAUGCCCGCUGUUGGUCUGAAUAGGUCAGCGGCCAAGCGAAAGCAUUAAGCACCCCACCUGGGGAGUACGCCGGCAACGGUGCAACUCAAAUGAAUUGACGG